AGGAAAUAGAUACCCGGGUAGUCCACGCUGUAAACGAUGAGAACUAGAUGUUGUGAGGGGAACCUCUCAGUAUCGAAAGCUAAACGCGAUAAGUUCUCCGCCUGGGAAGUACAUUCGCAAGAAUGAAACUCAAAAGAAUUGACGGGGGCCGCACAAGCGGUGGAGCAUGUGGUUUAAUUCGAUGCAACGCGAAGAACCUUACCUACCCUUGACAUCCUGCGAAUCCCGAUGAGAGUUGGGAGUGCCGCAAGGAACGCAGAGACAGGUGCUGCAUGGCUGUCGUCAGCUCGUGUUGUGAGAUGUUGGGUUUAAGUCCCGUAACGAGCGCAACCCUUGCCCUUAGUUGCCAGCAUUAAGUUGGGGACUCUAAGGGGACCGCCGGUGAUGAACCGGAGGAAGGCGGGGUACGACGUCAAGUCAUCAUGGCCUUUAUGGGUAGGGCUACACACGUGCUACAAUGGGGCGUACAGAGGGUCGCCAACCCGCGAGGGGUAGCCAAUCUCUUAAAGCGUCUCGUAGUCCGGAUUGGAGUCUGCAACUCGAC
rnacentral:rRNA from 1 species